rnacentral:rRNA from 1 species
UACGAAGGUGGCAAGCGUUGUUCGGAUUUACUGGGCGUACAGGGAGCGUAGGCGGUUGGAUAAGCCCUCCGUGAAAUCUCCAGGCUUAACCUGGAAAGUGCAGAGGGGACUGUUCAGCUAGAGGAUGGGAGAGGAGCGCGGAAUUCCCGGGUGUAGCGGUGAAAAUGCGUAGAGAUCGGGAGGAAGGCCGGUGGCGAAGGCGGCGCUCUGGAACAUUUCUGACGCUGAGGCUCGAAAGCGUGGGGAGCAAACAGG